GCCAGAGUCUCAUUCUGUCACCCAGGCUGUAGUACAGUGGCACGAUCUCGGCACACUGCAACCUCUGUCUCCCAGAUUCAAGCGAUCCUCCAGGCUCCCUAGUACCUGGGACUACAAGCAGGCGACCCGACGCCCAGCUAAUUUUUGCGGGGUUUCACCAUUUUGGCCAGGCUGUUCUCCAACUCUGGACAAGAGGUCUUGCCAUCUCUAAGCUGGACCUGGUGACCUUUUUGGAGGGAAAGAAAGAGCCCUGGACUGUGAAGAGUGAGGAGACCAUAGCUGCACAGCCAGUCCAGAUGUAUAAUCUCAUCCCUGAACAUUUCUGAUGGUGUGAUUAUGACAUGUGACUUUAUCUGGCAACAGAGUGAGUUGUUGCUCCCGCCUGAGCCCAGCCCCCAGAAAGGAUUGUGACAUAUCGUUGGACCCAGAAUUGAGGUAAUGUAACUAUUCCACUGCCUUGGCACUGCCCACAGAAGACAUUGUGACAUAUUGCUGGGUCUUGUACCCAGGUGGUGUGAAUCUUCUCUCCUGCCUUGGCUCUUCCACAGGGGGCAUUGUGUCAUAUCGCUGGGCCCCACACAUAGGU
rnacentral:lncRNA from 1 species